CAACCCUCAAGCCCCCGGGUUUGGUGUUGGGGAUCGGGCUGCGGUUCUACCGCGUCCCGGCCCCGAAAUCUAGUGGCGGUCUCGCUGCAGCCUCCAUUGCGUAGUAGCUAACACCUCGCAACUGGAACGCGGCGCGGCCAAGCCGUUAAACCCCCAACUUCUGAA
rnacentral:misc_RNA from 1 species